rnacentral:rRNA from 1 species
AUUGAACGCUGGCGGCAUGCCUUACACACGCAAGUCGAACGGCAGCACGGAGCAAUCCUGGUGGCGAGUGGCGAACGGGUGAGUAAAGUAUCGGAACGUGCCCAGUCGUGGGAGAUAACGUAGCGAAAGUUACGCUAAUACCGCAUACGAUCUAUGGAUGAAAGCGGGGGAUCGCAAGACCUCGCGCGAUUGGAGCGGCCGAUAUCAGAUUAGGUAGUUGGUGGGGUAAAGGCCCACCAAGCCGACGAUCUGUAGCUGGUCUGAGAGGACGACCAGCCACACUGGGACUGAGACACGGCCCAGACUCCUACGGGAGGCAGCAGUGGGGAAUUUUGGACAAUGGGCGAAAGCCUGAUCCAGCCAUGCCGCGUGCAGGAUGAAGGCCUUCGGGUUGUAAACUGCUUUUGUACGGAACGAAAAGGACUGCCCUAAUACGGUGGUCCCAUGACGGUACCGUAAGAAUAAGCACCGGCUAACUACGUGCCAGCCGCCGCGGUAACAC